rnacentral:tRNA from 1 species
GGCGGUUGUGGCGAAGUGGUUAACGCAUCGGAUUGUGGUUCCGACAUUCGGGGGUUCGAUUCCCCUCAGCCGCCCCAU